CGGGUGAGUAAUACAUAAGUAACCUGCCCUAGACAGGGGGAUAACUAUUGGAAACGAUAGCUAAGACCGCAUAGGUACGGACACUGCAUGGUGACCGUAUUAAAAGUGCCUCAAAGCACUGGUAGAGGAUGGACUUAUGGCGCAUUAGCUGGUUGGCGGGGUAACGGCCCACCAAGGCGACGAUGCGUAGCCGACCUGAGAGGGUGACCGGCCACACUGGGACUGAGACACGGCCCAGACUCCUACGGAGGCAGCAUG
rnacentral:rRNA from 1 species